rnacentral:rRNA from 1 species
AUUGAACGCUGGCGGCAGGCCUAACACAUGCAAGUCGAGCGAGCGGCGGACGGGGGAGUAAUGUAUGGGGACUGCCCGAUAGAGGGGGAUAAAUACUGGAAACGGUAGCUAAUACAGCAUAUUAUCGGAUAAUCCAUAUGGGAUUAGCUAGUAGGUGAGGUAAUGGCUCACCUAGGCGACGAUCCCUAGCUGGUCUGAGAGGAUGAUCAGCCACACGGGAACUGGAACACGUCCCAGCCCCCUAGGGGGGCAGCGGUGGGGAAUAUUGCACAAUGGGCGAAAGCCUGAUGCGGCCAGGCGGCGUGAAUAAAAAGGGCCCUAGGGUUGUAAAGUACUUUCGGUCGGGAGGCGUUACCGACAGAAGAAGCCCCGGCUAACUCCGUGCCAGCCGCCGCGGUAAUU